rnacentral:misc_RNA from 1 species
AAGUCGUAACAAGGUAACCGUAGGUGAACCUGCGGUUGGAUCAUUAACACAAAUGUCGAUACUGCCAAAGACUCUCGGGUCUGCGGAUUGUGUAUCACAACACACCUUCAUGUGCACUCAUGGCGCAUCAUCCGUUUUCUUUAUUGAGAACGAAUGGUGUGCUGUAAUCCAACCUGUAUCUUAUGUCUGAACUUUUUUGUAUAAAACAAUUACAAAACAACUUUUGGCAACGGAUCUCUUGGCUCUC